rnacentral:lncRNA from 1 species
UCUGAUACCAUCCAAUCCAGUUUUUCCAAUCGUCGUCCUUGGUCAGAACUCAUUGAUCGAUCCGCUUUCUCUAAACCCGAUUCCGUCUCCGAUGCUACUCUCCGUAUCCGCAAAAACUACUCCUAUUUCCGUACCAAUUACCUCUCUCUCCUCGGCAUCGUCCUUGCGGUUUCGCUUAUAACCAACCCGUUUUCCCUACUCCUUCUCACCGCUCUUCUCGCUGCUUGGCUAUUUCUCUACCUCUUCCGUCCUUCCGAUCCUCCUUUGGUCCUCUUCGGUCGGCAGUUUUCCGAACGGGAGACGCUUGGUG